GAUGAAGAACGCAGCGAAAUGCGAUACGUAAUGUGAAUUGCAGAUUUCAGUGAAUCAUCGAAUCUUUGAACGCACGUUGCGCCCGCCAGUAUUCUGGCGGGCAUGCCUGUUCGAGCGUCAUUUCAACCAUCAAGCGCUUCGCUUGUGUUGGGGCCCUGCGGCUGCCGCAGGCCCCUAAAUCCAGUGGCGGGCUCGUCGUGGUACCGAGUGCAGUAAACAUCCUCGCUCAGGGAACCCGACGGGUGCCGGCCGUGAAACCCCCCCUCCUCAAGGUUGACCUCGGAUCAGGUAGGAAUACCCGCUGAACUUAAGCAUAUCAAUAAGCGGAGGA
rnacentral:misc_RNA from 1 species